GACGAACGCUGGCGGCGUGCUUAACACAUGCAAGUCGAACGGAAAGGCCCUGCUUUUGUGGGGUGCUCGAGUGGCGAACGGGCGAGUAACACGUGAGUAACCUGCCCUUGACUUUGGGAUAACUUCAGGAAACUGGGGCUAAUACCGGAUAGGAGCUCCCGCUGCAUGGUGGGGGUUGGAAAGUUUCGGCGGUUGGGGAUGGACUCGCGGCUUAUCAGCUUGUUGGUGGGGUAGUGGCUUACCAAGGCUUUGACGGGUAGCCGGCCUGAGAGGGUGACCGGCCACAUUGGGACUGAGAUACGGCCCAGACUCCUACGGGAGGCAGCAGUGGGGAAUAUUGCACAAUGGGCGGAAGCCUGAUGCAGCAACGCCGCGUGCGGGAUGACGGCCUUCGGGUUGUAAACCGCUUUCGCCUGUGACGAAGCGUGAGUGACGGUAAUGGGUAAAGAAGCACCGGCUAACUACGUG
rnacentral:rRNA from 1 species